CGUGAUGAAAAUAUGGAAGUCCAGAAAAUUCAGGCUGAAAAGCAGGCAAGAGAACAGCAGGAAAAACAAGCAGACUUGGACUACGAUACUCAGAGAGAAGCUGCUUUUUUUAAGGAGCGAGAAUUUCGAAGAUAAGGACAUGCUCCUUUUACUACUUCAAGCUUUUUUCAGCAAGCAGAAAGAAUGGAAACUUUUAAUAAAGGCUUUUUAUAGCAGAAGCUGGAGCCUUGAGAAGAAGCAUUGACUACAGCAAGCGUCAUGCCAAAAUCCCCAGAGCUUGAUAACGCUUCAAAUGCGUCCCCAAGUGCACAUUUGCACAUGCUCACUAUUGUGCGAUUGGUGAGUUAAAUGGAUUUUAGUCUACUUCUUCAGCAGCAAGAAGCAAGGUGGAGUGCAGCC
rnacentral:lncRNA from 1 species